GCCACAAGAUUGAGUCAGACUACAUGUGAAUACUUGCUUUUGUGUUUAAAGUCAUAUUCACACCUGAUAGUCCGGUAGACUUGGUUCGAUUGGGGGCCAAAAUUGCAAAGUUUGUUCACAUUCUCAUUGGUGUGGUUCACAUUCACUAAAGCCUGUGAAUAACCCCCACACCCAACCUGUGGGGGCGCUGCACCAAGAACCACUGAGGGAAUCAACAUGAAAAUCUCAGAAGAAGACGUGGAGCUUCCUUCAUCACAAAAUGUAAACAUGGAGUAAUGUCAGAUUUUAGUGGUUGUAGGAUUUAUUUUUUUGUUUUUGGCAAAUAGUCUUCAACAGUGAGCCCAGCAUACGAGGAAGACGAGGCGGAACCACGGAGAAUAUUGUUUUCCACACAAGGCGGCUGAGACGGCUCCAUGUGAGGCGGCGUUCACCGAGAAGGAGCGCGUCCAAAUUCACAGCCGUGAUGUCCACCUCAUACAGACAUCCAGCGAGGUGACUUUUCAUCGAAGAAGACGUGCCGAUGCAGGUGGAGGAGUCUCUGGAGCGUUCAUGGAGGAGGUGGGAGGAGUCUGGAUCAUUCAAGGCCCACUGCAGUUCUGACCCACAGCUCCUCGUUCACUCCGACAUGCUGAGCAGGGGAUACCUGGACACAAGCUUCAAGCACCACAACUUAAACACACGGGUCUCGUUUGCACGGGGAUGCUGACAUCUGGGUACAUUUGUAAAGCUGAGGCUUUAAACAAGAAUCUGUCAAGAUGGAAAUUUGAAUAAUUUUAUUUUCUAAUGGAAACAAUUCAUGCAAAAACCAAUACUUCUUC